rnacentral:lncRNA from 1 species
AUAUACCUACGGUAAAUAUGAGUUCGCCUUAUGAAGUAAUAUAACUGAAUAGAUGGACCAACAAAACUUUAUUAAUAAUGCGAGUAGUCACUCAUGUAAAAUGGAUAUGGCUAACCCAUUCUCAUGUAUACAUACAUUUUCAACAAAUAACAAAGCAGUACCCAUUCUCAUUGCUAUUCUAUUCACUAAGGAACCCCUAAUUCACUUAACACACACUUAACCACUUUAAUCAAUGCAAGAGGCAAAUAAAUUAGAGGCGGCCACCACCACCACCAAAGCCUCCGCCCCCACCAAAGCCGCCUCCACCACCACCACCUGCACCUCCUCCUCCUCCCAAUCCUCCACCAGCUCCAGCACCAGCACCUCCACCAAGUCCACCACCACCUCCUGCACCUCCACCAAGUCCACCACCACCUCCAGCUCCUCCACCAAGACCACCACCAGCUCCACCUCCCAGUCCUCCACCACCACCUGCU